UGUUUAGAGUUUUUGUAUCACAUUUUGACACUUUACUUUUUUGAAAAGGUCAGAGUAAUUUAUGAUAUAAAUGUUCAUGGUGGAGUUGCUGUGAAAGCCAAAGGCACUUUUAUUUAUAUAAUUUCACAUUUUCUUGGCAGUCAGAUUGUUUUGACACUGUUGCACAAACAUAUGAUCAUUUAAGAUGUUCCUUUAUUUAAUGAAAGAUAGUAAGACUGGCUUCCAUCAUUUUUCAGAUGUUGUACAACUACAGGACUUUCAAUCUCAGUCAAGUUGAGGGGUCAGUUGCACGAAUGGUAACUGUAAUUCAAACUGGUCACUGGAAAAAGUGCUGCUGUGUGGGAAUCAAUUGUAGUUUCUCCAGACAAGAUGUUACAGCCAGUGUAUGAAGACUGAACUUUUUGUACGGUCACAGGUGCUCUUGCAAAGACUGAUGGCUUGGCAGCAUAAACUAUUCUAUGGUUAUAGGGGUAAUGUCUUUAAACAGAAGCAUGCUGUUGUGGAGUGAAAGUGCACAAACCAUUGAUAACCCUUUGGAGAAUCAGUACCAGGUGUGGCAAGAAGUUUGAAAUCAAAGUCACAAGAAGUUGUUUGAUGAUGGAAGUAUCUGUGAUCAUUUAGUAUUUCCAGUGGUUCAGAGGAACAGAUUACACUCAGUUAAAACUAAAUGUGAUAUUUAUCUAUUUGUGAAUGAACGAGGACUUAAUGAGGAUAAAAUGUUAAGAAGACAAACCUGAUGCAGCAACAAUUUUGUGACAAUAUCAGUGUAAUAUUUAACCAUGUACAACUGUUUUUCAUUAUAAAUGCAGUAAAAGGUAAUACAAUGUUAAAACUGCUUUACACUUUUUAUGCGAGGGAAUAUGUUGUAUAUGGUCACUAUAGAUGUUUUUCCAUUUGAUGAAAUGAUAUUGUGGGUGAACCGGUGAAGAAUAUAUUGACCAAAUCUGUCAUGUUGACCAUAAUGUUCGGUGCAACCUAUAUUGUACAAAAAGUAGAUUUGUUAUAGCACCAAAUAAUAGUGAGAUUGGAAGGCCAGUGUGCAAACCACUGAGCUAUCCGCCCACCACCAUUAGAUAUAUUAAGGCAAAAAUCGUCGUCUCGGCGCAAAAACUGUAUGCAUGUUUGUGCUUCUUUACUUCAAUGAGCCCACAUUUGGCGCUGAGGUGACAUUAUAAUUCAAAAAAAAACUAAUACCUCCUCAUCGGUAACACUACUUAUUUACGUUGCUUACAGUUAAGCAUGAUAAAAAAUAUGGAAUAAAAAUCUUGAUAAAAUUUAUUGUACUUACGUUUUCCAAGUCUGAAUAAACCAUACCACAGAA
rnacentral:lncRNA from 1 species